rnacentral:rRNA from 1 species
GGAUGAACGCUGGCGGCGUGCCUAAUACAUGCAAGUCGAGCGAACGGACGAGAAGCUUGCUUUUCUGAUGUUAGCGGCGGACGGGUGAGUAACACGUGGAUAACCUACCUAUAAGACUGGGAUAACUUCGGGAAACCGGAGCUAAUACCGGAUAAUAUUUUGAACCGCAUGGUUCAAAAGUGAAAGACGGUCUUGCUGUCACUUAUAGAUGGAUCCGCGCUGCAUCAGCUAGUUGGUAAGGUAACGGCUUACCAAGGCAACGAUGCAUAGCCGACCUGAGAGGGUGAUCGGCCACACUGGAACUGAGACACGGUCCAGACUCCUACGGGAGGCAGCAGUAGGGAAUCUUCCGCAAUGGGCGAAAGCCUGACGGAGCAACGCCGCGUGAGUGAUGAAGGUCUUCGGAUCGUAAAACUCUGUUAUUAGGGAAGAACAUAUGUGUAAGUAACUGUGCACAUCUUGACGGUACCUAAUCAGAAAGCCACGGCUAACUACGUG